UACGUAGGGGGCAAGCGUUAUCCGGAUUUACUGGGUGUAAAGGGUGCGUAGGUGGCAUGAUAAGUUAGAUGUGAAAACCCAAGGCUCAACCUUGGGAUUGCAUCUAAAACUGUCAAGCUAGAGUGCAGGAGAGGAAAGCGGAAUUCCUAGUGUAGCGGUGAAAUGCGUAGAUAUUAGGAGGAACACCAGUAGCGAAGGCGGCUUUCUGGACUGUAACUGACACUGAGGCACGAAAGCGUGGGUAGCGAACAGGAUUAGAUACC
rnacentral:rRNA from 1 species